GCUUAUUAACAUGUUUAACGGGCUUGAUGAUCUGUCGUUCACUGUCAUGAGACUUCCCGUUGUUUACAAACAACGCGACCUCAUGUUCCACCCUCCAUGGGCUUUCACGUUACCGGCUUUCUUGCUUCGAAUUCCCAUGUCUAUGAUCGAAAGUAUUUUGUGAACCGUUCUUCUAUACUGGGGUGUCGAUCUUGCCCCUGAUGCUGGCAGGUUCUUCAAGCAUCUCUUGUUGGUUUUCCUAAUCCAGAACGUGGCAGCGGGACUGUUUAGGCUGAUUGCAGGCGUUUGUAAGACGAUGAAUAUUGCUAACACGGGUGGAUCCGUUGUACUUUUACUUAUAUUUUUGUUUGGCGGUUUCAUUCUACCAAAAACGCAAAUUCCAAACCGGUGGGAAUGGGCGUAUUGGCUAUCACCGUUGUUGUACAUCUUCAAAGCCAUCACCAUCAAUGAGUUCCUUGACUCUAUUUGAUUUCUUUUAUUAUAUGUUAUUUGAUUUCUUUAUCUUCUCUCCAUUUUGCAGGUGAUAAUUCCUUUUGGUGAUAUAGAUGAGAUACGAGGGAGCCAACAUGCGGUCAUUAAUCCUGCUGUAACAAUAUUUCUUCGACUGGGUGCUGGUGGACAUGGUG